rnacentral:rRNA from 1 species
UUGGAGGGCAAGUCUGGUGCCAGCAGCCGCGGUAAUUCCAGCUCCAAUAGCGUAUAUUAAAGUUGUUGCAGUUAAAAAGCUCGUAGUUGAACCUCGGGGUCUACCCAUUGGUCAGGCUUAAUUGUCUGCACUGGUGAGAUGGAUCUCUACCUUCUGAGGAACUUUCAUGCCAUUUAUUUGGUGUGAUGGGAAAUCAGGACUGUUACUUUGAAACAAUUAGAGUGUUUAAAGCAGACUAUCGUCUGAAUACAUUAGCAUGGAAUAAUGAAAUAGGACGGACUGAUUCUAUUUCGUUGGUUUCUAGGAUCACCGUAAUGAUUAAUAGGGAUAGUUGGGGGCAUUAGUAUUCAAUUGUCAGAGGUGAAAUUCUUGGAUUUAUUGAAGACUAACUACUGCGAAAGCAUUUGCCAAGGAUGUUUUCAUUAAUCAAGAACGAAAGUUAGGGGAUCGAAGACGAUCAGAUACCGUCGUAGUCUUAACCAUAAACUAUGCCGACUAGGGAUCGGAUGAUGUUAAUUUUUUAAUGACUCAUUCGGCGCCUUACGGGAAACCAAAGUGUUUGGGUUC